GAUGAGGAUGUCUGCUUUGCCUGGGGAGAGCGUAGACUCUAAACUCUCCCCAGGCAAAGAAGACAUCCGGAAUUUAAAGGGGAGCUACACAACUUUUGUGGCUUAAUUUAUCUUAAUAUAACAGCUUAAGAGUCAUUGUGAUGGUUCUAUUACCCUUUAUGGGUCGUUUGGUCGCUGUUUCGACUCCCCCCUAGCGCAUCUUGAGAGAAAAAGGGAAUAUGCAAGUCUCUGCCGGCGACCCGCAGCCCACUCUCGCGGGAGUCUCGGGUCUCGCGAAGCACCGAAUUGCUUUACGGCAUACAGACCCACAAACACGGAACCGGCUCGAUGUAACACAAGUAGCGGAGGGAUUGUUGCAUUCAUCAUGGAUCAGCCGACUAAAAUGAGAAAGAGGAACCCAAUGUCGGAGAAACAGAAGAAGAGAAAAGGGAGACUGACCGACAGAGAGGCCAGACACGAGUAAGCGUUGGGCGAGCUUCUCAGGAAUAGAGUGAACUGAAAGAACAAGAAGACUGCAAAUUGGAUGCCGACCUGCCAUGGCCGUGUUGCUCUUGAAAUUUUACAAGCGUUGGCAAACAGCAUUGUUAUGAGGAGGCUUGAUGACCCAAGACAGAUCGGCCUGCCUGCCCUGGUACAGCCACCACCCACAUCCGAACUUGUGCGGGUACAAGUGUCACGAGGAAAUCCAGAAAACCCUCAAGAAGAUGUUACACAAUAGCCAUAAGGCAAAAAACAAACCAUGAAGAACUGUCACUCGCAUUUCUUUCAAUAUCCAAAAUAAAUAUUAUUCUAAC